UGAUGGGUUAUUGCUUAUUUAGACUUAUAAACUUUGAAAUUUGGCUUUGCAAGAACACCUACGACAUAUAAAAGACUCACGACAGAAAACAUACUUGUUGCAAAGGCAAUUUUCCGAGUUUAAGGGCGUAAUAGGUGAAAACCCAUCAUCCCUUGCGCGCUCAGAGUUUAAGUUUAGGGUUUUGGAAGGACAACCUUAAUUGAAUUUUAAUUGGCUCGUGCCGCUCUUUUUGUUUUUAAAGACCUUGAACCGAUGAGAUAUCAAUCAUGCAAAGAUAUAUUGACGAGCCCAAGGUAAAAUAUAUACAUAUAUACUUACACAACAUGCGGC